rnacentral:piRNA from 1 species
UAAGGUGACCUUGCAGCAGGAGCUGUGC